rnacentral:rRNA from 1 species
GGAUUGCCCUAGUAACGGCGAGCGAAGCGGCAACAGCUCAAAUUUGAAAUCUGGCUACUUUGUAGUCCGAGUUGUAAUUUGUAGAGGAUGCUUUUGGUGAGGUGCCUUCCGAGUUCCCUGGAACGGGACGCCAGAGAGGGUGAGAGCCCCGUACGGUUGGAUACCAAACCUUUGUAUAGCUCCUUCAACGAGUCGAGUAGUUUGGGAAUGCUGCUCUAAAUGGGAGGUAUAUCUCUUCUAAAGCUAAAUAUAGGCUAGAGACCGAUAGCGCACAAGUAGAGUGAUCGAAAGAUGAAAAGCACUUUGAAAAGAGAGUUAAACAGCACGUGAAAUUGUUGAAAGGGAAGCGCCUAUGACCAGACUUGUUUCUUUCAGUUUUGUUAGUUCUCGGACUGAUUUACUCUGUUAGUACAGGCCAGCAUCAGUUUGUUGUCGGGGAGAAAGGCUUAGGGAAUGUGGCUCCUUCGGGAGUGUUAUAGCCCUUUGCAUAAUACCCUUCGGCAGACUGAGGACCGCGCUUCGGCAAGGAUGCUGGCGUAAUGGUCAUCAGCGACCCGUCUUGAAACACGGACCAAGGAGUCAACCUUAUGUGCGAGUGUUUGGGUGUAAAACCCCAGCGCGUAAUGAACGUGAACGUAGGUGAGAGCUUCGGCGCAUCAUCGACCGAUUCUGAUGUUCUCGGAUGGAUUUGAGUAAGAGCACACAGGGUUGGACCCGAAAGAAGGUGAACUAUGCUUGUAUAGGGUGAAGCCAGAGGAAACUCUGGUGGAGGCUCGCAGCGGUUCUGACGUGCAAAUCGAUCGUCAAAUAUGAGC